ensembl:lncRNA
UUGCUCUGUUUCUUUGUGUUUUAGUUCAUUUAUUUGUUUGUUUUGUUUUUGGCUGCUCCUGAAGCAAGCGGAUGUUCCUGGGCCAGGGCUCGACCCCACUCCACAGCAGCCACCCGAGCCAUGGCAGUGAAAACACUGGAUCCUUAACUCACUGUGCCACUUAAUUUUCAGUACAUAAUACAAUACUAAGUAUCGUCACCAUGCUCUACGUUAGAUCCCCAUAACUUAUUCGUCUUAUAGCUAGAAGUUUGUACCCUUUGACCACCAUUUCCCCCAGCCCCUCGCAAGCACCCUUCCAAACUCUACUUCUGGUAGAGCUUCCAUGCCUGCCUGCUUACAUCUCACAUAAGCGUCCUAUCUUAAUAAAUCUAUUUCUUGCCUAUCAAAGAUAAAUAAACUCUAUUUCUGUAACCUAGACGUUUUCAGAUUUCACAUGUAAGAGAGAACAUGCAUUAUUUGUCUUUCUCUCUGACUUAUUUCACUCACAUAUAUAUGCAUAUAUAUAACGUAGCAGGCUGGAACCGAUAAUCCUUAGAAACUGUAGCUUGUUGACCUUACCUUGCAUCCGGGAACUUGGAUUUCAGGUGGUUUCCCACCGUUCCCUCCCUGAGAAGGGUAGGUUCCUCUUCCGAAACUGUCCAAACAAUAUGUUCGAUGCUAAAUGCCUGCUUGCCUCCCGGGACCCUGGAAUCCUGGUACGUGCUGGGCAGAGAGUGUGCGAGAGACCAGUCCCCAGUUAAAAGCUUGGGCCCUGGGUUUCUCAUGAGCUUCUCUGGCAGACAGUGUUUGAAGGAGCUGUCAUGGCUCGUUGCUGGAGGGACAGAUUGUGUGACUCUAGGGAGAAAGGACUCUCGAAAGCGUACGCUGGUUUCCUCUGGAUGAUGCCCAGUGCACCACUCCCCCUGGCUGUUUGUCUUUCUAUCCUUUUGCAGUACUGAUUCCUAGCCAUGGGGAUGACUGUAUGCUGGGUCCUGUGAGCCCUCCUAGGGAUUCACCAAAAGCAAGAGUGGUUUUGGACGUCUGAAACAGUGGGGGCAGCCAUGAGAUUCACUAGUGAGCUCCUGCCUCAUUGAUAUGCAGUGAAAGCCUCGUUUGAAGGGUGGACAAAGCGGUAGGAUGAUGAUCCUUUCAUGCUCGGUGCCUAUGGAUGUACCCAUGCUAUAGAGCAGCACUGAGCCACUGACGGGUGUGAGAGGUAACCGUUCCUUACUAAGUUAAGAGGAAAAGAUCCAGAAGUUCCCUGGUUGCUCAGCGGGUUAAGGCUCUGGUGGUGUCACUGCUGUGCCUCUGGAUACAGCUGUGGCAAGGGUUUAAUCCCUGCCUGGGAGAUUCCAUGUGCAAUGGGUGUGGCCAAAAAGAGGACCAAGAAAUCCCGCAUCAGAGGGUUAGCUCACUGCAUCCCUGGGCUGCUUUGCUGAGCUGCCUGAUGUGAGGGGGUACCUGUCAUGAGCACCGGACUUUGGUGUUUUUUGACUUGCUCUCUCCUACAACUGGGAGGACACAAAUCUGUUUCUGGGACGGAGAAAGCUUCAGAUAAACCCGAGCGAGGCAAGAAGGGAAAAAAGCUCUCCAGCCUUUUUUUCAACGUGGCUGCUUCUGUGGCAGCUUCUCCCAGCAUUCCCACCAGAUCUGCCUUGGCCAGGUUCAUUCAACAGCCCAUCCACUGGCUACAUGCUUGCAACACCCACGCUGAGCACUGGCCGCUUGAUGCUUAGGAAACAUUCAGUACAGGUGCUCCAAGCAUCGUGACCCAGGUUCAACUGUGAGAGCAGAACUGCGGGCAAUGGAGGUACCAGAGUGACACACACGUGUGUAGUAGACAUUGUGGCCGCGUGUAUUAGGAGUUUCCGGAAAGAGGCGGGUAUGACAGAUGCAGUCCUCCUCCCCUCACUGGGAAGAGACUGACUCCACAGAUGUCCUCGUUACCCCAUUCUCCUGGGUCAUUUUUACGCAGAAAUAACUGGCUCAAGAAGAGCCGCCUUUUAUUAACAAUAGACCUGGAGUCAGGGUCCUUUGUUCAUUGAGGAAACAGUCUCAGCACCGCCAAGACACUACAUCUCAGCCUCCUGGGCCUAGUUUGGGGAUGUGGGGAUGAUGUGGGCUGGAACCUGCAAGCAGAUGACAGCCACCUGUUGUGUGAGUGAUGGCGGGAUUUAAGUCCUAGAAACCUAGGAACACAGAGGAGGGCACUGACCCCUGCCAAAGUAUCAGGGGGAGGGGUUGUGGGUGUUUGGUCAAGACACACUUCUCAAGGGUGGGGAGGUUCCUGAGGGAGGCACCGUGAUCUUCCAGUUUACAGACACACAGGCUGAAGGGCACCGACAGCAAAACCAGUGCAGCCAUUUUCCAUUCUCAGUCUUUGGGCUCCAGACCACCAUGGCGGCUGGGUCACCUCCCGAGAGGCCAUGCAGCCACUGAAAGCACCUCCUCUGCCUCUGCUCGCCUCUCAAUUCCUAGUAUCUGCUAAACAGAGGGAGACGGGUCGAGUCCUAACUGGGCCGUAACCGGGCCUGGGGGGUGAUGGCAAAGCCUCUCUGGCAUGGUGCAGUGCCUCCCCGCAGGGAAAGUCAACGUCCUGCCUGCCUGUUGGCUCUGAGGCAGGCCCUUCCCACCAGUGGACUCCGGGUCUCUGGGCUUCAGAGCAUCUCCCCUGAAGGCGACACAGAGAGGGUCUGAGAGCCGUUCACGGUGCCUUUGCCCUGCUGGGUGCCUGGACGUCACCGAUGGACACGGUACUGGGACAACAGUGACUGUCCCAUCAUGGAACAGUAUCUGCAUCUCAGCAACAAAAACCCAAACCAAGUUUGUUGUGAAGUGACGGCAAAGAAGACUGGCUCAGGAGUCUGACAGACCCGGGGCGUGACUCCCAGAUCCACCCUCCACUGCAUCAGCGACUUAACCUCUUUGAGCUUAUUUCCUUGUCUGUGGAAGGCAGUGGGUUGAUACUUACCUCUCUGGCCCUUGGGGAAAUAAAACCGUGUCUGCCCUGCUCACAUGAGCUCAAGAGCCAGGCUUGAGGAAGAGCCGUUUACACUGCACCCCUGUUAGGGACACAUCAGUGUGGAGGGAUCCAGGCCACGGCCCCAGGAGUCUACUCCACCCUCUGACUGGGGUGGCUGUGGGGUAGGGGGGGUGGUGCCAUUUCCAUCUUUUUCUUUGACCUUACGUAUCAGAGACACACGCUUCAUUUCAUACUUAGGUGUGUUCUGCUUAGAGGAGUUGUAGUGAAUGAAGGGGAUCCUCACAGCUGAGUGUGUAGCUGGUAGAACCUACACACUCUCUCCCGGACCUUCUAGGAACUGGAUCGUCUGGGUGCCUCCAGGGGUUGACAGCACCCUGUGCAGACACCUGAAGAGCUGCAGGAAGGCACUGGCACAUGACCUUGGAGGGCCCCCCCAUCCUGAGCAGGCAGCUGAUCCCUGCCACCCUCAGGGCCCCAAGAACUAGAAAAUCAGCUCCACUGCAAAGAGAGGAAAGUUACUGUACUUUCUGUUGUCCUAACAGAGAACUCCGACUAUAAAAUCGAGUGGGAAAUAGUGAACGUGUCAUCAAAACAAAGUCCAUGGGCAGAGCAGAUCGGGCCUGUUCCAUUUACUGGGUCACAGACACCAUAAAGUGACAAGUAUCUCCCAUGUUCUGGGUUAUCCCUCCUCACUGUCAGGCAGGUGAUCACCCUGGAUCCAUUGAUAGUUCCAAAAUUGUGAUCUGAUUCCAAAGUCCAUGUUCAAAGGCAAAAGUGGGCCCAAAUACAAUAAGCAGAGAGACCUUUGCCAUCUGUCCCCUGUGCUUAUUAGCAAGGAAGCUUUUCCCAAAAAAGGCAGGCAUCAGAUUACAUUUCAGCUCAGCUCACUGUGAACCACAGUAAACCUUGUUUUGAUUUGGGGAAUUCAACAAGAAAUCCCCACCACAUCCCAUUCUAUAAAAGUAGGAGUUAACUGACUUCUCAUCCAAGUGCGGCCCAGGUAAAAUGGAAAUUGCACCACCCAACGUGACACCGAACCAGCAGAUGAGGAUGGCGGGAACAGCACCUGUGAGGAUGUGCAGUCUGGGAGUGGUCAGCGGGAACGAUUGUGAGCACACUGGCCAUGUGAGGUACAGAAAGGGGUUUGGGGUGGUUGGAAAGUCAAGUGGGGGGAAUGGAGCAGGAGGGGUCCGGUGAGGAUCAGGCACUCAGGGGCACGCGACUCCUGAUGUGCCUAGUCCAGGAGGCCGGACACUAUCCCUAGAGCAGCGGACAGCCCCCACAGAGGUUUGAACAGGUGUGGCGUUCCUAGAUUAGGACUUCAGAAAGGUUCCUCGGGCAGUGGAAUGGAAAAAGGGUGGCAAAGGAUCAGGAUUGGUGGUGGUCGUGCAGAGUAGAGCUGAGGGUGACCUGGACUAGGGAUCUCACUGUGGUGAUGGAGAGAAGUGGCAGGAUCUUGCCUAGACUUAGGAGCAGAAAGGCAGGGCUUGGUGCCUGAGGGGAUGGUGAGACAGAGGCGGCAGGCACAGAUGGCUGUAAGGAUCUCUGGCCAAAGCAGCCGGGGAGAAGGCUGCCUUGCACUGAGUCAGGCAAACACUAGAGGAGGUGCAGAUGUGUGUAGGGACUCGGGGUGGAUGGCUUAGUUUGGACAGGCUGAAUGUUCCUUGCCUUUGGGAUUCAAACAAGUAUGACCUGAAUGAUGUGGGGGAGCUGACCUAACCUCUCUGUGCCCAAGACACCUCAUCAGUGAGAGGAGAAUGAGUCUGAUGAUGAAGAAAACUGACUGCUUUCUGUGUCAUUAAUUUAGUCUAGGGGAAUUUUCUUUUACACCACAAAGUACCGUUUGACUGUCAGUUACCCCCUAGGUACAAUGGCAACGUCUCUACCUGUACGCAUGUCUGCUGGGCUUUACAUAUCUGCUUUGUGUCUCCUCUCCAUGUGGCCACUGUGCAUCAUGUAUUGCCAACUGUAAAACAAAUAAAUAAAUAAAUUUAAAAUAACAAGUGUUUAUUGUCACAUGCAUGUAGUGUGCCAAUCCAUCAGCCUGUCUCCCGAAGAAAGAGCUCCCUCAGACCCUCCAGUCUUCCCCCUGUAGCCCCUCACUCCUGUCAGAUGACCAGGGAGGUCAGUAAUCUACAGGAGGGGAUUAAAGGGGAAAUGUGGAUCUGGAAACCAUCAGUGUGUGGCGGCAUAGCAGGGAGAUGAGGAAGCCACUGACAAUCCAGAUUUGAAACAAGGACCCCGAAAAUAAAACCUUUUGAUACCUAUAAAGUGUUGUUCAAGUGUCGAUGACUUCCAGGGUAAGAAGGGACCCUCUCUUCUUAUCCACAUAUCUGCUUGGACAGGCAUGAAAGAUGCCUGGCUCAUCUUUACCAUUUGACAAGGCUGAACUUCACCUGAGCCCCGAAAGAGCCACAGAAAAGACAUCUCUGCAGACUUCUGUGUUCCCGAAGUGGCUUACCAGCAAAGACCGGCCUUCCCUUUAGGACUUAGGUAAGGCUUGCGGUCCACUCUUUGUCCUAUUUGCCAUAAGCCUCUCAGGUGUCCCAUGGGUGUACCCUGCUAGCAGGCCAAACACAGACCUUCCUCCGAGUCCUUAAAGGUCAGACACAGACCCUCAGCUCCGUGUUUUCUGUCUCAUGAAUCGUAACUGAGAUUCAAAGUCAGCCCUCCUGAAACCAGCUAGUCACAAAGACAAACAUUUCCUGUUCAGUUGAUUAGACUCCCCCCUCCCCCGAAUGUUUCCCACAGUAGCACUGUCUAUUAAUCUCUCUCAAGUCCAAUGCAAAGCCACCCUGCUGACACAGUCUGCUCUUCAGACCUGGGGUGGUCUCCCCAUUGCAAUCCGUAGAAUAAAGUCAGUCUCUAGGUCAGUUCUGUGUCUUUCCACGUGUGAGGUGUCACACUGACUGUGAGUUGCAAGAACUGGUAAGGAAAAACUCUGGUAACCGGAGCCGCUUCUCGCAUGGACACACAACACAAAUUACCCGGCAGGCACAAAAGCCCCACCUUCCAGCACCAAUAGGCUACCACCCAGACGCAUCGUCUGUGAGGUCACCUGCGCUACCCGGAAACACUUCCCGCGACUCUGGAAGCUAUUACGGCUUUCAAUAACCAAGCUGCCGGGACGG